CACGUAGGAGGCAAGCGUUAUUCGGAUUUACUGGGCGUAAAGCGCGUGCAGGCGGUUCGGUAAGUUGGAUGUGAAAGCUCCUGGCUUAACUGGGAGAGGUCGUUCAAUACUACCGAACUAGAGGAUGAGAGAGGGAGGUGGAAUUCCGAGUGUAGUGGUGGAAUGCGUAGAUAUUCGGAGGAACACCAGUGGCGAAAGCGGCCUCCUGGCUCAUAACUGACGCUCAGACGCGAAAGCUAGGGUAGCAAACAGG
rnacentral:rRNA from 1 species